AGUGAACGCUGGCGGCGUGCUUAACACAUGCAAGUCGAACGAGAACGGAAUAUAGCUUGCUAUAUUUGUCAGCUAAGUGGCGCACGGGUGAGUAAUGUAUAGAUAACCUGCCCUUAAGAAAGGAAUAACAGUUGGAAACGACUGCUAAUGCCCUAUAUGCCUUUAAUACAUAAGUAUGCAAGGGAAACGCUUUAGUGCUUAAGGAUGGGUCUGUAUGGUAUCAGAUUGCUGGUGAGGUAAUGGCUCACCAAGGCAAUGACGGGUAUCUGGUUUGAGAGGAUGAUCAGACACACUGGAACUGAGACACGGUCCAGACUCCUACGGGAGGCAGCAGUGAGGAAUAUUGCACAAUGGAGGAAACUCUGAUGCAGCAACGCCGCGUGGAGGAUGACGCAUUUCGGUGUGUAAACUCCUUUUAAGAGGGAAGAUAAUGACGGUACCUCUUGAAUAAGCACCGGCUAACUCCGUGCCAGCAGCCGCAGUAA
rnacentral:rRNA from 1 species